AUUGAACGCUGGCGGCAUGCUUUACACAUGCAAGUCGAACGGCAGCGCGGGCUUCGGCCUGGCGGCGAGUGGCGAACGGGUGAGUAAUGCAUCGGAACGUGCCCAGUAUUUGGGGAUAGCCCGGCGAAAGCCGGAUUAAUACCGCAUACGACCUGAGGGUGAAAGCGGGGGACCGAACGGCCUCGCGCUUUUGGAGCGGCCGAUGUCGGAUUAGCUAGUUGGUGGGGUAAAGGCUUACCAAGGCGACGAUCCGUAGCUGGUCUGAGAGGACGACCAGCCACACUGGGACUGAGACACGGCCCAGACUCCUACGGGAGGCAGCAGUGGGGAAUUUUGGACAAUGGGGGCAACCCUGAUCCAACCAUGCCGCGUGCGGGAAGAAGGCCUUCGGGUUGUAAACCGCUUUUGUUCGGGAAGAAAUACUCUGGGCUAAUACCCCGGGGGGAUGACGGUACCGGAAGAAUAAGCACCGGCUAACUACGUG
rnacentral:rRNA from 1 species